GGAGGCGGCGCUGCGGGGAUGCGAGGGCUGCCGGCGGGCUCGUCGUGCCCCACCGCGGGGUGGUGCUCUGUCUGCGGCAGCCGUUGAGUCAGGGCUGCCUCCGGGCGAAGCAGCGAGGAGGCGCCUUGGGUCCUUUGAACACCUUUUCAAGUUUAUUCUACAUUGAGAGGAAAUUUCCUGAGCUAUGGUAGUCAGACCUAGUAGUGGGAACUUCUCUACAGAACCCCCAAAUCUGGCAAGGAUGGUGCAAGUUUUCGCACAUUAUGACUUCAUAUCCCACCACUGAGGAUAUUAUCAGAGGUAGCGCAUGCCUGUAAUCCCAGCACUUGGACUCAGGAGGCGAAGGCUGGAGGAUCGUGGGUUCAAGGCCAGUCUGGGCUACAGAGUUUCAAGCCAGCCUGGGCUAUGAAAGCCUGUCUCAAACAAACAAGCAAACAAACCAUCAAAAAUAAAUAAAUAAAAAUUCAUAGUAGGUAACAUUUUCUAAAGACCCCCUAUUACCAAGAUUCUAUUACAUAUAUAUAUGACUUGUGCUUUCUAUAAAGUGAUUCCUUUCAUACCCAAAUUAUAACCCUGUAAUUAGUGCUUUUAUGAAUUUUUAUUUUCCUUGUUUUUUUGAACAAGUGCCAAAUUUAAUAAAUGAAGAUUUAAAACA